GUGGCUCCUGCUGCCUCUCAAACUACACAGCGGCCAAUCCCGACUGCCCUCUUCACAUGAAAUGGCAAACCUACCAGUAAUCUACAUUCUAAGACCUUCACCCUAACCGUCAUGUUGGCAUCCUACCACAAGCAGACCUCUUCACAGGCCCCCAACCUGCACUUAGGAGAAGUAGUCACCCCUCUGGGUUACCACGAGGACUGUGAAUGGAGAGUGUGUAGCUGAGUAUCUACUCAGGAUAGAAUCUGCAGAAGACUUACAGGUGAGGACCAUGAAGCAUACGGAGACUGUUUCUAUACCCACAUGACCAGAGGGUGACUGAUGUCAACUGUAAGGUCUACUCACAAUCAUUGAAUAAAAAGUGAU